GAUUGUUUACUCAAACAAUUUUGUUGCGCAGUUUAUUUGAUUUGUGUCAUAGAAAAUAAUGACUUUUAGAAAGUAUAUAAAGAGAAGAUUUUGAUUAUCAGCGCAAACAACAAGAAGGAUAGAAAUUAUGAUGGAGUUGCAAAAGAUCCUUAUUCUCCUCGUUCUAUUGGCUGUUGUCAGCAUAUUGGGAACACCAAUCGGAGAAGAGCUGCAAUUACAAGAUCAUGGCGACUGGUACUGCUGUCGCAGGAACACGGAGGAGUGUUUGGAGUGGUGCCGCUAAAAGGAGCUAUACAACUAUACGGACUGUGAAGGGGUAAUGAAGAAAAUGAAUGUCCAUACUAGUCUGCUGAAUUACUGUUAAUAAAAUAAUCAAAUCAACAA